GACGAACGCUGGCGGCGCGCUUAACACAUGCAAGUCGAGCGGUAAGGCUCCUUCGGGAGUACACGAGCGGCGAACGGGUGCGUAACACGUGAGUAAUCUGCCCUUCACUUCGGGAUAACCACCGGAAACGGUGGCUAAUACCGAAUACGACCAGUCUUCGCAUGAGGUGCUGGUGGAAAGUCUUUUCGGUGAAGGAUGUGCUCGCGGCCUAUCAGCUUGUUGGUGGGGUAAUGGCCUACCAAGGCUUCGACGGGUAGCCGGCAUGAGAGGGUGACCGGCCACACUGGGACUGAGACACGGCCCAGACUCCUACGGGAGGCAGCAGUGGGGAAUAUUGGACAAUGGGCGAAAGCCUGAUCCAGCAACGCCGCGUGAGGGAUGACGGCCUUCGGGUUGUAAACCUCUUGCAGUACCGACGAAGCGCCCUGUCGGGUGGUGACGGUAGGUACAGAAGAAGGACCGGCCAACUACGUG
rnacentral:rRNA from 1 species